AAUGAUAUGCCUGAUUAAAAGGGUUAUUUUGAUAGAAUAAUACAUAUAAAGUUUCUUUAUUUUCAUUA
rnacentral:tRNA from 1 species